GACGAACGCUGGCGGCGUGCUUAAUACAUGCAAGUCGAACGGACAGGCCCUGCUUUUGCUGGUUGCUCGAUUGGCGCACGGGUGAGUAACACGUGAGUAACCUCCCCUUGACUUUGUGAUAUCUUCAGGAAACUGGGGCUAUUACCCCAUAGGAUCUCCUGCUCCAUGUUGUUCGAUGGUAAGUUUCGGUGGUUCUGGCUGGACUCGCGGCUUACCCGCUUGUUGGUCGGGUAGUGGCUUACCAAGGCUUCGACGGGUAGCCUGCCUGAGAGGGUGAACGGCCACAAUGGGACUGAGAGACGGAGCAGACGCGUACGGGAGGCAGCAGGGGGGAAUAUGGCAGAAUGGGCGGAAGCCUGAGGCAGCAGCGCCGCGUGCGGGAUGACGGCCUUCGGGUUGUAAACAGCUUUCGAAGGUGACGAGGCGGGAGUGACGGUAAUGGGUAAAGAAGCACCGGCUAACUACGUG
rnacentral:rRNA from 1 species